UACGUAGGGCGCAAGCGUUAUCCGGAAUUAUUGGGCGUAAAGAGCUCGUAGGCGGUUUGUCGCGUCUGCCGUGAAAGUCCGGGGCUUAACCCCGGAUCUGCGGUGGGUACGGGCAGACUUGAGUAAUGUAGGGGAGACUGGAAUUCCUGGUGUAGCGGUGAAAUGCGCAGAUAUCAGGAGGAACACCGAUGGCGAAGGCAGGUCUCUGGGCAUUAACUGACGCUGAGGAGCGAAAGCAUGGGGAGCGAACAGG
rnacentral:rRNA from 1 species